rnacentral:misc_RNA from 1 species
UGAAGUCUAAGCUUCUCGACUAAAAAACUUAGUUCGGCUAACUUUAUAGGUAUGUCUCAACAAUCUCAAGUCCAGAAUUUCGUGCAUGUGUGCAACGCGCAAGUAUGCAUAGCACUUUAAAAGAGAAAAAAAGGUUGAAAUGGGACAAAGGUUCCCUCUCUAAUGUACAAAAUAUAACUCUUGAGAGUACUUCAGGUGUCUCUGAAUGUGUGUACAUUGUGUAGAAUUUUAUGUGCA